UACAGAGGGUGCAAGCGUUAAUCGGAAUUACUGGGCGUAAAGCGCAUGCAGGUGGAAAGACAAGUUUGAUGUGAAAGCCCUGGGCUUAACCUGGGAACGGCGUUGAAGACUGUUUAUCUAGAGUUUGACAGAGGGCCGUGGAAUUUCCGGUUGUAGCGGUGAAAUGCGUAGAUAUCAAGAGGAACACCUGAGGUGAAGACGGGUUGCUGGGCCGACACUGACGCUGAGUGCGCGAAAGCCAGGGGAGCAAACGGG
rnacentral:rRNA from 1 species